rnacentral:rRNA from 1 species
AGGUGGUUGAAAAAGUUGGUGGUGAAAUCCCAGAGCUUAACUCUGGAACUGCCAUCAAAACUUUUCAGCUAGAGUUUGAUAGAGGAAAGCAGAAUUUCUAGUGUAGAGGUGAAAUUCGUAGAUAUUAGAAAGAAUACCAAUUGCGAAGGCAGCUUUCUGGAUCAUUACUGACACUGAGGAACGAAAGCAUGGGUAGCGAAGAGGAUUAGAUACCCUCGUAGUCCAUGCCGUAAACGAUGUGUGUUAGACGUUGGAAAUUUAUUUUCAGUGUCGCAGCGAAAGCGAUAAACACACCGCCUGGGGAGUACGACCGCAAGGUUAAAACUCAAAUGAAUUGACGGGGACCCGCACAAGUAGUGGAGCAUGUGGUUUAAUUCGAAGAUACGCGCAGAACCUUACCAACACUUGACAUGUUCGUCGCGACUUUAAGAGAUUAAAGUUUUCGGUUCGGCCGGACGAAACACAGGUGCUGCAUGGCUGUCGUCAGCUCGUGUCGUGAGAUGUUGGGUUAAGUCCCGCAACGAGCGCAACCCUCACUUUUAGUUGCCAUCAUUAAGUUGGGCACUCUGAAAGAACUGCCAGUGAUAAGCUGGAGGAAGGUGGGGAUGACGUCAAGUCCUCAUGGCCCUUACGUGUUGGGCUACACACGUGCUACAAUGAUAUUUACAAAAGGAAGCAAAACGGCGACGUUUAGCAAAUCCUAAAAAAAUAUCUCAGUUCGGAUUGCACUCUGCAACUCGAGUGCAUGAAGCUGGAAUUACUAGUAAUCGUGGAUCAGCGUGCCACGGUGAAUGCGUUCCCGGGUCUUGUACACACCGCCCGUCACACCAUGGGAGUUGGUUCUACCUUAAGGCAAGGUUUAAAACCCUUGACCACGGUAUAGUCAGCGACUGGGGUGAAGUCGUAACAAGGUAGCCG